GACGAACGCUGGCGGCGUGCUUAACACAUGCAAGUCGAACGGAAAGGCCCUGCUUUUGUGGGGUGCUCGAGUGGCGAACGGGUGAGUAACACGUGAGUAACCUGCCCUUGACUUUGGGAUAACUUCAGGAAACUGGGGCUAAUACCGGAUAGGAGCUCCUGCUGCAUGGUGGGGGUUGGAAAGUUUCGGCGGUUGGGGAUGGACUCGCGGCUUAUCAGCUUGUUGGCGGAGUAGUGGCUUACCAAGGCUUUGACGGGUAGCCGGCCUGAGAGGGUGACCGGCCACAUUGGGACUGAGAUACGGCCCAGACUCCUACGGGAGGCAGCAGUGGGGAAUAUUGCACAAUGGGCGGAAGCCUGAUGCAGCAACGCCGCGUGCGGGAUGACGGCCUUCGGGUUGUAAACCGCUUUCGCCUGUGACGAAGCGUGAGUGACGGUAAUGGGUAAAGAAGCGCCGGCUAACUACGUG
rnacentral:rRNA from 1 species